AGCUUAUGAAAACAUGAUUGAAAACGUACUAGCAUCUAUCUAUUACUUAUAUACUAAAGUAGAGUUUUUUGGGGGCUUUUCUUGACGAGUUCCCUUGAACUUUUCAUACUCACGUGACUGUGGGUCUUUAGUGUCAAUUGUCAGCCGUCUGAUCUGGCUCAGUACUUCCCCAUCGUGCGGUUAUACCUCAUCAUCAUGAAAGACAAAAGAGACGUUUUUAUCUCCGCCAGAAACGACAAUAAAAUCUUGCUGCUUCUUAUGUAAGACAAGAAAACCUUUUGCAAUUGAGAAAGAUAUACAGUGAAUAUUUCGAUGCAUGAAUCUCUUCCUGAUUUUAUCUCUCCCCUUCAAUGCGUGAAUAUAUUACUGCUGCUUUUUGGCGGAGUCGAUCAUCGGAGAUAUUUCGUGUGCGUUUAUUUUCUGAGAGCUCUCAACUCAUCUGUCUUGUCUUGCAUCUUCGUUUAUGACACAGGCUAAUAAUAAUGACAAAGGUGAAAUUGCUUAGGGGGUCAGUAAGGCCCACAUGCUAUGUAGUCGAGCCCAACAAACUUACGACAGGCUAUCUUCUUAGCAAAGUUCACAGGCCACACGAUCGGCCUGCAGCCCAUAGGCCUAUGGCUUGGGCCAUAAUCAGCUUAGCAAUGGCCCAUGACCCCUAACACCAUCUACGGCCCCAUCACUAGGAAAUUUCUUCCUCAGCCCAUGCUUACUAGCUCAAUGCCCACGUGCCCAGAAGUUUAUAAACACCAGAAGCCCCCGACUUUUAGAGGACUAAUACGUCGGGACAGGCUAAGUAAUCCGUUGGGACGACAGUUGCGAAGCACUAAUAUAAUACAGACAGAGGGGCAUCCGUUCGGACGGACGGGGAAACCUUCCUACAGCUAACUGGCUGGAACAGUUCUAGAAGAAUUUUUGUGCUACGAGAGAGUCUUGGAGACGUGGGUUCGAAAGACUGGGGAGGGUGAGAUCUUGAAGAAGAUAGGGUCUGUCAGGGACUUCCUUAUCUUGAAGAAUUGGACUCUUCCUCAAUUGGGCCUUUAGCUUUUGGGCUUCUCUAGAUUCUCAUGUUGUGUUAUUAAUCCAUACAACUUUAAUGCUCUGUUGAUUGUAUUGUUUCUUGGAUAUAGCCAUGUAGGGCAAAAUUUGGACAUUGCAAUGAACUUAGGAGUGAGAUGUGUCAUUAUGCUUAAAAACUUAAAUGGAUUCUCCUCAAGAUUGAAGGGCCAGAAUUUCAUGAAAAUUCAAGUAGAGAAAGCAAUUUUGCGCAUCGAUCA